rnacentral:rRNA from 1 species
UGGGGAAUUUUGGACAAUGGGCGAAAGCCUGAUCCAGCAAUGCCGCGUGUGUGAAGAAGGCCUUCGGGUUGUAAAGCACUUUUGUCCGGAAAGAAAUCCUUGGCUCUAAUACAGUCGGGGGAUGACGGUACCGGAAGAAUAAGCACCGGCUAACUACGUGCCAGCAGCCGCGGUAAUACGUAGGGUGCAAGCGUUAAUCGGAAUUACUGGGCGUAAAGCGUGCGCAGGCGGUUUGCUAAGACCGAUGUGAAAUCCCCGGGCUCAACCUGGGGAACUGCAUUGGUGACUGGCAGGCUAGAGUAUGGCAGAGGGGGUAGAAUUCCACGUGUAGCAGUGAAAUGCGUAGAGAUGUGGAGGAAUACCGAUGGCGAAGGCAGCCCCCUGGGCCAAUACUGACGCUCAUGCACGAAAGCGUGGGGAGCAAAACAGGAUUAGAUACCCUGGUAGUCCACGCCCUAAACGAUGUCAACUGGUUGUUGGGGAUUCAUUCCUUAGUAACGUAGCUAACGCGUGAAGUUGACCGCCUGGGGAGUACGGUCGCAAGAUUAAAACUCAAAUGAAUUGACGGGGUCAUAGCUG